rnacentral:snRNA from 1 species
UUCAAGUUUCUGCAUCGAUUCCG